rnacentral:rRNA from 1 species
GACGAACGCUGGCGGCGUGCUUAACACAUGCCAGUCGAACGGAAAGGCCUGCUUUCCCUUGUGGAUUGCGGGUACUCGAGUGGCGAACGGGUGAGUAACACGUGAGUGAUCUGCCCCCAACUUGGGUAUAAGCCUGGGAAACUGGGUCUAAUUCCCGAUAGGACUGCAGGGUGGUGCCUGUGGUGGAAAACGAUUUUCUAGUGGUUGGGGAUGAGCUCGCGGCCUAUCAGCUUGUUGGUGGGGUAAUGGCCUACCAAGGCGGCGACGGGUAGCCGGCCUGAGAGGGUGGACGGCAACAUUGGGACUGAGAUACGGCCCAGACUCCUACGGGAGGCAGCAGUGGGGAAUAUUGCACAAUGGGCGGAAGCCUGAUGCAGCGACGCCGCGUGGGGGAUGACGGCCUUCGGGUUGUAAACUCCUUUCGACCGCGAGGAAGCCACCUGGUUGGAAGGGUGGUGACGGUAGUGGUAGAAGAAGCACCGGCUAACUACGUG